GUCUACAGACACCGUCCCAGAAGCAGGAGGCUCCACUUCUCUUCCACUUCCCGCUGCAACCAAUAAAGGCCGUUCCUACCAAAUAAGAAAGUCAUUUUGACAUACUUACUAUGUUUCUGAGGCUACGCAAGAGAAGGAGGGGAAGAACACAAGCUUCCCAGAUGAAUCUUGGGCCAGCAAGAUUGCAUUUUAACCAGAAUGAAGAAGGAUGGAGGAGAGCAAUGUGAGAGAAGAAUACGAAAACGAUUGAACAACACAAUCAGGAAUACAGGGAAGGGAAACAUGGCUUCACAAUGGCCACGGAUGCCUUUGGGGACUGGGUGAGUGUGGUGUGGACAGGUAGACUCUGUGCUUCCUCUUCUCAGCUCU